CACAGAAAGAUGGCGCCGGCCACGCUGCGCGGCGCUGCUGCGUCACAGCGAUCCUCCGCGGACCGCGGGGAGAACAAAGGCGGGGCGGCCGCCCGGCGCAGCCGAGAACAGCAAGAGCUGAAAAUAGAACCACCUUGGGCUCCGGAGCAGGAAGCUGCCCAGGAGCGGUACUGAGGACUGACGCCGAGGGACGCUGGCGCCCCGCGGGUGGCCAUGGCGACGGGCCCCCUUCUCUAGGCUGGGGGCAGACUCUGAGGUUUUGCUGUAUAGCCCAGGCUGGCCUUGAACUUACAGCGGAUCCUCCUGCCUCAGCCUCCCGAGUGCUGGGAUCCCAGGCGUGCCCAGUGUGGCCUUGCAGUCCCUUGCCUCGGGCCUCUGGGCAUCUGUUGGACAGCUCCAGUCCCAGCGCUGCCCUUUCUCCUGAGUUGGCUUCAGAAGAGGCAGCCCCUGAAGCACUCCCUUCAGAGAGGUCAGGACCGAAGGGUCUUGCUGUGUAGCUGUGGCUGGACUUGAACCAAGAGCAAUCCUCCUGCCUCAGCCUCCCGAGUGCUGGGAUGACAGGCGCCACCAUGCCCAGCUUAGAAACCAGCAUUUUAAAAGACCAGGUGCUGCAGUCGGAUGGGCCGGGGAUUUAGCUCAGUGGUUCCGGCACCUGCCUCACAAGCGCAAGGUCCCGAGUUCAAUCCCUGGUACCAAAAAAAAUACCAGGUGCUGCAGUCGGAGGGACCGUGCAGAUCAGCCAGACACAGCGCUUUCAGGUGCUUAGCCGGAGGCGAACAUGUUGAAUCUAACACGUAUAUUUUGGACCAGUUAUUGAAGGGUCCACUGCCGACAUGAACUCAGAAUAAAGCUAACUGUGCAGUGGCUGGGGAGGGGCACACGAAAACGAGUGUGCUCGGUGCAUGAAGUGAAGCGUGCGUGCGGGUGUCCGGCCCAGUGAAGGUUGCACCUCAGGGUCUUUGUGGGCUGGGCACCCAGUCCCUGUCUCUGUCCCUGUCCAGGAACUACGGCUCCCACUUUUGGCUGGGUGCCCAGGGCGGGGCCCAGCUUUUCCUUGCUGUAUUUUUUAAACCAUUUCAGGAGAAGAAAAAAGCAAAUCUAUAACCCUGGCUUCAAGUUUCCUGGAGGGCUGUGGCACAAGGUAGCUUUUCUUUUUUAACUCUGAUUUCUGCCCAUCCGAGGUUGCAGUCCUUCCUCCAGGGAGCUGGUUCAAGACAUCUCACACCUCCGCCUUCGCCCCUUCUCCUCCCUGUCUCUCCAUUGAGUCUUCAGAGCCUCUGGUGUGAAGCAGAGAUGCAGCAGGAGGCAGGCGCACAUGCUGCGCACUGCACAAGCAGAAGUGUCGCUCCCUGGCACUCUGACGGUGUCCUCAAGGAGUAGGCUGUGAGUUUCAGACUAGGAAAAGCUAUCCCAGAGAGCAGCGAGCUGAAAUCAGACUGCAGCUCAGCUCAGCAGCACUUCAGAUGCGUGGCCUUCAGCACCCCAUUCCUCAGCUCCCAGUGUUGGAUCCCCACUGCUGGCUCUGCAGGCUGUUGCCGUGUCUCCGUCCUCCAGAAGUACCUGCCUCCGAGGUGGGUCCUGUGCUCACGCAUGGGGCGAGGUCACGGUGUUUGCCACUUGACCACAGCCUGGACAUCAGCUCCCUCUCUGGAAGAACCUAGUUCCCACCCCGGUCCGCUUUGUCCCUCUCAGAUGCCAUGUACUUCCUCACUGUACAAGUCCAUACAGUCCCUUGUUCUUUAGUUAAAACAGUUUAACCUUUGUUUGGGGAUUUUUUUUCAGACAGGAUUUUGUUAUGUUUCCCAGGCUGGCCUUGAACUCAUGGCAAUCCUCCUGCCUCAGCCUCCUGAGUGCCAGGUUACAACAGUUUAAUUCUUACAAGAACAGUAUGUAUUUGAAAAAUGUUUCAAGUAGAUUUUACUUUUAAAAAAAAUUCCAAGGAGAAACAAAAUUGCAUUUUAAAGCAUUUAUUAGUUAUAAAAUAAUCAUUUAAAUUUUUUUUUCCUCGAGACUGCUUUCAAGUUGCACUGAGAGAAUGCUAAUGUAAAUAUUCACAAGAUAGUUGUUUGCUUUUUAUUAUUACAAAUGCUUAGUCUUUUUUUCCUUCCAAUUUAGAUAGAAAAAGUGAAAGAGAAAAACAUUGCCUAAAGGAAAUAGCCUUUACAAUGGACCUUUGACUUACGAACUCAGUCCGUUCCAGAGGGAUGGUUGUAACUCAGGUUGGUCAGUGGAGGCUCGGGCUCCCCUACACAGCCUUCACAGUCUCUCUCCUGCACACAGGCAGAUCUCAGUGUCCUCAGAGAGACACUGGCCGGGGAUUUCCCAGUGAGCCCCAUUCAGGAGAGGAUGCUGUCCUGUUCCUUCCAGACUCUUUAAGGGUUAAGUCUGCAUGUGAGACCAUCUGGAAGCACAGGUGGCCAGCAUUCAGGUCAUAACUCAAGACUUUGGUUGUAAGUUAAAACUAAAAUCCUGGUCAAGACCCAAGUUGUUCGUAUAUCAGGCCGGUUGUAACUCAAGGGCCCACUGUUGCACUAUUUACUGAGUGUCUGGCAGUUGCAUGGCUUCGCCGUGGGUCACCCCGAUGUCCUGUGGGCCCCAGGAGAAGCUCAGGACCAAGGCCUGGCGGGCACAGCACCAUCCCUGCUGCCUUUCCUUCGGCAGCUGGGGACGCCUCUGCCCUCAGUCGCUGUUCCGGUUCUGUGUGUAGGAGGAGCCAGCUGCUCUCUGGGAGCCUCUGGUCUGCCUGAAAGGCGCUGCCCCAUCAGUCUGGAGCAGAAAUCCAAGAACAAGCGCACCUGCCUGUCGGAUCUGCUCAGACAAAACAGCGGAGACCUCAAAACACAGCGGAAACGGCGAGUCACCGCCUCCAGAGGAUGCUCUGCCACUGAUUUCAGCCCAGACGCCCUGUGCCCCUCAGGAGCUGGAGUCCCUGAGUCAGCCAGAUGGCAGGGCUCGACUCAGGAAGUCAUCUGGGAGCCGCAGGUUCUGAUGCUGAGCCCAGGGAUAGAGCUGGGUUCGUCUCCACUUCUGAACAUCUGGGCGGGUUGGGGUGCGGGGGAUCAGAGUCCGGAGCUUCCUCUCAGGACAGCCUCACCUCGUGGCGGUUCCUCCCCACACACACGGGGAGAUCCCAGAACAGGCCUGGUGGGCACACUUGUCAUCCUAGCGCUGGGGAGGCUGAGGAAGGAGGAUUACUGCGAGUUCGAGGCCAGCCUGGGCUACAUAAUAAGACCCUGUGUCAAAAAACAAACAACACACAAAUACAGAUGAAUCGAGUGUCCGCCUCUCAGCCCCACGUGCUCACCUGGGCCUUUUCCUCUUUCAGCUGCUGCUCUCCGAGGGACCUCAGAGCCCGGCCCACACCUCGUGGGACCCACAGAGCCUCCUGGCUGCCCUGGCUCAGUUAUCACAGUGCUGAUGCUGUCCACUCUAAAGGUACAGUACUGUGAUAACUGAAGGAUGGCAGCCACCUUGCUGCCCGAGGUGCCCGGAACCACAGAGGAGGAGGAGGAAGAAGGGGCCCAGUGAUGGCCCCGAAACCCAUGCGCAGCCCCUGGCUGGAGAGAAGGUUAUUCUGGCUCUUCGCUGUGCUUUGUUCAUUUUUGGGUUUUUUUGAGUUAGGUCGCCAUGCCGUUCAAACUGGCCUUGAAGUCACUGGAGCCCAGGCUGGUCCUGGACUCGAGGUGAACCUCCUGCCUCAGCCUCCUGCGUGCUAGGGUUGCCCCAGCCCUGCUCUCCUUGUCUCGUUUUAUAACAUGGGCAGAAAACUCGAGGUGGUUUGUUGGCAAACACGGAAGGGCCAGGAACCUUGAGUCUUCAGGGGUCAUCGCUGGGGAUGUACCGGGUAUGAGUCAGGGGGCCGGGCAUGGCAGUGCCCGCCUGUAAUCCCAGACUCGGGAGGCUGAGGCAGGAGGACUUCUGGGAGUUCAAGGCCAGUGUCCAGUUGCCGUGUCUCUGGGGAUUGGACAGCGACCUGUCUGUCCUGUGUCCGGAGAGAUUUACAUCACAUCUUCUCCCAAAAGUGUGUACUGUUACUGCUGCUGUUGUCACCUUUCAUAUGAAAAUAAAGUGUGAAGUUAUUUCAUUUUGUCACAUAAAGAAGGACCACUCUGGGAGCUGGGUGUGGGGGCCACACCGGUAAUACUCGGGAGGCCGAGCGAGGCAGCAGGAUCCCUGCAGGUUCAAGGCCAGCCUGGGCUCCAGAGUGAGACCCCCAUCUCAAAAAAUUAAUAACCAAGCAAGUACAAAGCAACCCCCACACCGGGUUUUAUGCUUCCCAGCCUCUGCAUCCUCUCCAGAGUCUGCAGGGCUGCAGGGCCCAGGUUCAGGUGGCUGGGGCGGGACCUCACUUCCCUGCAGCUCCAUCUGCGUGACUCUUGCCCCAAGGAAGUGAAUGUAGGGCCUCACAGACAUUGACACACUUCUGCUGAUGCCGCCCAGGUGUACAUGUGAGGAUGGGUAGGGGAGCAAGAUGUGACACGUGUAGUGGGUGGAGUAUUACUCAGCCCUGAAAAGGCAGAGUUCCUCACUGCAGUGUGGUGAGUCUUACAGAUGCUGUGUCGGUAAAAGAAGCUAGCAUGACAAGAUGGGUUCCGUGUGUCCCCACAUGCACUUCCAGGGCGCCCUCACCCAGUGAGGAUGGCCAUGGGCACUGGAGUGGGGGGUAGGGGGACAGUGAGGGGUCAGGGAUACAUGAAUCCAGGGUUUUGUUUGGGGAAGAUGAAUUCUGGAGGUGGGCAGCGAUGGUUUCCCAGCAUCAUAAAUGGGCUCAGGGCUUCAGAACACAACUCCUAAAAUGGCAAAUCUUACGCUGUUUCACUGCAAUAAGAAAACAAGAAACCAAAGGGCAACAGCACUGCAGCUGCUGCUCCUGGGCAGUGUCGGGGCAGAGAGGACACUGCCUCCCUGGAGGAUGAAAACAUGGAUGCUGAGCUGUUCACGGGGCUCACGCGCUGCAGGCCUCCGAGGUGGUGUAAACGGAGCAGAGGCUGGAGCAGAACCUGGCUGCCCUGGCGUCCCCUGCUGGCUCUGGACCCCAGCAGUGACACUGGCGAUGCCCUGGCCGCAGUCUCGGAGCUGAGGGAGAGUGCGGUUUUCUGGAUGGAUUCUUCUGUCCUGACCGAAGCCAUGACCCGGGACCACAGGUCGGUCCCUCCCGCAGUAGAGACCCGCGCUGGCACAGAUAACAGCAUUUGUAUUUUGGGGGUUUUUUGAGACUGUAUCACUGUGUAGACCAGGCAGGCUGGCCUUCAACUCACCAUGAUCCUCCUGCCUCAGCCUCCCAAGUGCUGGCGUUUCCAGUGUGCACCACCAAACCAGGCUGGCGGAUUGUGUCUUGUCUGGUGCGUGCAGGCUGUGAUUUUCUGUGGGAUUAUGAGAUGUGUGGUGCUGAAAAGAGAGAAGGAACCAGACCUGGUUUUUUGACUGAUCCCAACUAAGUGGGAGGCUGAGACAGGAGAAUCCCAGGAGCCCAGGAGUUCAGGGCCAGCCUGGGAAACAGACUGACUUUAAAAGUUCACAGUGAUUCCCGUCGGUAUUCAUGCUCAUUUCUGGCUUCUGUCCUUGAAAAUGAAAUUACAGAAUUAGUUCGGCG
rnacentral:lncRNA from 1 species